rnacentral:rRNA from 1 species
UACGUAGGGGGCAAGCGUUGUCCGGAAUCAUUGGGCGUAAAGAGCGUGUAGGCGGCUUGAUAAGUCGGCUGUGAAAGUCAAGGGCUCAACCCUUGAAUGCCGGCCGAUACUGUCAAGCUAGAGUCCGGAAGAGGCGAGUGGAAUUCCUGGUGUAGCGGUGAAAUGCGCAGAUAUCAGGAGGAACACCAAUGGCGAAGGCAGCUCGCUGGGACGGUACUGACACUGAGACGCGAAAGCGUGGGGAGCGAACAGG